UAGCUAAAGAUGGAGCUCACGGAGGGUCAUGUAUUCCAAGGUUGGCAUGAAGGAGCUAUAGAGUUUCCACCUACCUACAAGUACCACCCUAAUUCUGAAGAUUACAUUGGGUGUGAUCAGAAACAAUUGACCAAAAAGAAGCGUGCUCCAGCAUGGUGUGAUCGAAUACUAUGGUUUGGAGAGGGAAUGAAGCAAAGUAAAUACAGCAGGAGUGAAUCAAAACUCUCUGAUCAUAGGCCUGUUAAGGCAUUGUUCAAAGUUGAGAUCAAGGUGGCCGAAAACUCUACUUGAUUCAAAGAUUUACAAGGGCAAUUUCGUCCAAGAGAUUUUGACGUCUCAUUGUUUAACAUUCUUGAAUUAUGUUUUUAGAAUUCUAGGAAGGUAUUCAUGUGAAGGCUCAAUUCUUUGUGAGACGUAUUUAAUUUGCCAAUAAAAAAAGUUUUUCUUUUCUUAGAGAAAUUUGUACAAGUAGAUGUCAGAAUUAUUUUGACAAAAUACAUGAGUAGUUGAUGAGUCAUGAAUGUGAUAGUGUUGCAUAAACACUAAUGAAAGAAAAUGCCAAUUGUCAAACUUGUA